UACGGGGGGAGCAAGCGUUGUUCGGAUUUACUGGGCGUAAAGGGCGCGUAGGCGGCCUCCGCAAGUCAGUUGUGAAAUCUCCGAGCUUAACUCGGAAAGGUCAACUGAUACUGCGGGGCUAGAGUGCGGAAGGGGCAACUGGAAUUCUUGGUGUAGCGGUGAAAUGCGUAGAUAUCAAGAGGAACACCUGCGGCGAAGGCGGGUUGCUGGGCCGACACUAACGCUGAGGCGCGAAAGCUAGGGGAGCGAACGGG
rnacentral:rRNA from 1 species